rnacentral:lncRNA from 1 species
CUCCUUGGAAUUGAUCAUACUGUAUUACUCUCUAGUCAGAGGGAGAAUACUUCAAGAAAGAAUGUUGAGGGAGGAAAUUUGAGGUUAGAACACAGAAAGGUGUUGUUGUGCUGAGUGGAAGGCAGUUCAAGGAAGCUAUUAUAUAUUACCAAGCCCAAGACAGUCACUCAAAUAGUCAAAUGUAACUUUCUUAGUGUUAGGAUUGACUGGGUGCAGAAGCAUGUGCUGCCUGGACAAGGAGGGGCCUUCAAGGGGUGGCUGUGUCCAGCGGCUCAGAAGGGUCAAGGUGGAGCAUAGCCAUAUAUUGGUGCCUAUUUGCCUGGCGGCAUAUAUUUCCUUCUCUUUCCAUUAAAUCAUUUUGCAGAUAGGACCAGAAAUAUUUUGUGGCUAUGCUCCCACCUUGACUCUGGAGCCAAGAGCAGCACCAGAUGCAAGCACUCCUUCAAGGUCCCUCCUUGUCCAUCCAGCACAUGGUUUUGCAUUCUACGUUGCCAACACAUUGAAAGUUACAUUUCGGGGCUAUCUCUUGGAGCUGAGUAAUAUAUAAUAACCUACUUGUAUUGCCUUCCACACAGCACAACAAUAUCUUUCUAUUUUUCUGAAGGAAAAUCUCAUUUCUUUCUCAACAUUCUUGCUUGGAGUAUUCUCCCUCGAACUUGAGAAUUGGAUAGCAUGAUCAGUCCCAAGAAGCUCAUUAGAAUGGCAAGGAAGUGGCAGAAGGUAGCUGCCCUUGGUAGGAAAAGGAUCUCACUGGGAAGAAUCAAUACGGGUGUGGAUGCAGACAGCUGCAGCACGUCAUCAGUGGCUGAUAAAGGCCAUUUUGUUGUUUACAGCUUGACAGAAGACGCUUUGUGAUACCCUUGGCGUAUCUUAACAGUGAAAUCUUCAGAGAGCUUUUCCAAAUGUCUGAGGAGGAGUUUGGGAUACAAAGUGAUGGCCCCAUCAUACUGCCAUGUGAUUCAGUCUUUAUGGACUAUGUGAUCUCAUUCAUCCAACGUGGUAUUGGAAAAGAUUUGGAGAGAGCUUUGAUCAUGUCUAUGGCUUCCAGUAACUGCUCAUCCUCUUCAUACUUCCAUCAAGAGCAGAACAAUGAGCAAUUACUAUUAUGUGUCUUCUGAAGAAAUCACACUUAAUUUUUGUAAUUGAUCCACACAAAUUUAGUUGGAUAAUAUACAUAAUGAGAAUUUCCAAAGUAUUUUCUUCAUGUUUUCUUGUCUUCUCAUAGGUUAUAUUGCUUAUUGCCUCCAAAUGAGUUGUGGACAAAAUCUGUUAUGCUUAGAGAAGUAGGUACUACAAGUGCUAUUAAGUUUACCAUUCAUUUUUCCCAUAUAGAUUAUACUUCUCCAAUAGGUGAUUUCAAAUUAUUGGCCAUCAAAAGUUUUUAACUUCUGUUUAAUUUCUUCAUGGUGCACCCUGUUCCUGUGAAGGAAAAACCUCAUGGGACAGGGAAAUUGUUAGAUUCUAUGAAUCAAAACCUCCAAAAUUUCCGUCUUAAAUUACCAUACACUGUGUUUUUAGAUCUGCCAGCUAGAUUGGAUAUGAUAUGUCCUUGAACCACAUAACAAAUAGGACAAAAUAUCCUCCUCUGUAUGCUCCUCAAUACACAGAUUGCCAACAUUAAAAAGAACAUGAUUACCAUGUAUUUUUUUCGAUAUUGUAACGUAUCACAAUGGUUUUGUGUACAAUUUUUCCCCAGGAGCUCAAACGCUAUCAUUUUUUGGGGGGUCCUUCAAGCCCCAUUUUAUAAUUGAUGUGCAAUAUAGAGGAUGUGGGACAGAAUCAAACACUCAAAUGACUGUCAAAUUCAUAAAUGGUACUACAAGUACUAGUUUCCCCUGUUUUCCAGAAAGCCAAACACAUUGGUGAAUAAAAGAAACAAAGAAAUUAAAGCAAAGUCAUAUGGUUAAAACAGAGGACAAGUAUACAUGGCUAGUGAUACCAUAUAUGAAUUAGAUAGUGAUCCACAAAUGGAAAUCAAAUAUGCCCUGCUCUCAAAUCUUUCACUCUCUGCAAAUCCCACCGGGUUCCUCUGCAUUUUACACAAGGCAUGUACCUUGUUUGGGUCUGAAAUUCUGUCCCACAUCCUCUAUAUGGGACUCAUCAAUUAGAACAUGGAGCUUGCAGGACCCUGAAAAAUAGAUGGCUAAGUUUUAGAUUUCUUGUUGGGUUUAAUCUUCAUACUGAAUGAGAUUUUCCCAUUGUCCUCAAUAAAAUCCUUUUGGAAGAUCCUAAAUAUUUACUAGCUUCAUAGUAUAAACAUUUGUGUCUGUUUCAAAUGAAUAUACUUAAAUGAAACUAACAGUAUCACAUUUGGAGGCCAGAGAUUGUUCUGUUUCACUUUCAACACAUGACAUUUGAUGGGCUGUGCAUAUUGCUUGAAAUUGAUUGACUGAAGACUAUAUAAACAUUAUGGUAAGCAAUAAUGAACUUGAAAGAUAAUCUUGGAAAAUCAUUUUGAUAUAUAUAUAUACACAUAUAUAUAUAUAUGUAACUAAAAUUGUGUGGAUGAUUUACAAAAUUUGAGCCUAAUUGCUUCAGUAGGCACAUAGUAGUGCUUGUUUAUUACACUUCUGUUCAUGAAGGAAGUGUGAAGAAGAUGAACAGUUGCUGAAAGCUAUAGACAUAACCAAGGCUCUCUCCAAAUCUUUUGCAACACCACGUUGAAUAAAUGAGAUUAUGUAGUCCAUGAAGAAUGAAUCACAUGGCAGUGUGAUGGGGCCAUCACAAAGCGUUUCCUAUCAGAACUGUAAACAACAAAGUGCCCCUUAUCAGCCACUGAUGAUGUACUACAACAGUCAGCAUCCAAAUCUCUGUUGGUCCUUUGCAAGGAGAUCCUUUUCCUCCCAAUUGCAGCUACCUUCUGCCACUUCCUUGCCAUUUUGAUGAGCUUCUUGGAAUUGAUCAUACUGUAUUACUCUCAAGUCAGAGCGAGAAUACUUCAAGCAAGAAUGUUGAGAGAGAGGAAAUUUGAGGUUAGAACACAGAAAGGUGUAGUUGUGCUGAGUGGAAGGCAGUUCAAGGAGACUAUUAUAUAUGACUAAGCCCAAGACAGUCACUCAAAUGUAACUUUUGUAGUGUUAGGAUUGGUUGGGUGCAGAAGCAUGUGCUGCCUGGACAAGGAGGGGCCUUCAAGGACUGGCUGUGUCCAGCAGGUCAGAAGGGUCAGGGAAGAGCAUAGCUAUAUAUCCGUGCCUAUCUGCUUGGCAGCAUAUAGUUUCUUCUCUGAUAUAUUUAGUUUCAGUUAAACCAUUUGCAGAUGGGACCAGAAAUAUUUUGUGGCUAUGCUCCCACCUUACUCUCCAACCAAGAGCAGCACCAGGUGCAAUCACUCCUUCAAGAUCCCUCCUUAUCCAUACAGCACAUGUCCAUGUAGCACUUGGUUUUGCACCCUGCAAUGCCUA